CCUACGGGGUGCUGCAGUGGGGAAUAUUGGACAAUGGGCGAAAGCCUGAUCCAGCCAUGCCGCGUGUGUGAAGAAGGCCUUCGGGUUGUAAAGCACUUUCAGUGGGGAAGAAAGCCUUGGGGCUAAUACCCUCGAGGAAGGACAUCACCCACAGAAGAAGCACCGGCUAACUCCGUGCCAGCAGCCGCGGUAAUACGGAGGGUGCGAGCGUUAAUCGGAAUUACUGGGCGUAAAGCGCGCGUAGGCGGUCUGAUAAGCCGGUUGUGAAAGCCCCGGGCUCAACCUGGGAACGGCAUCCGGAACUGUCAGGCUAGAGUGCAGGAGAGGAAGGUAGAAUUCCCGGUGUAGCGGUGAAAUGCGUAGAGAUCGGGAGGAAUACCAGUGGCGAAGGCGGCCUUCUGGACUGACACUGACGCUGAGGUGCGAAAGCGUGUGUAGCAAACAGGAUUAGAUACCCUGGUAGUC
rnacentral:rRNA from 1 species